UGUCCUUCUGGCCAGGCUGCUAU
rnacentral:misc_RNA from 1 species